rnacentral:rRNA from 1 species
CGUAGGGUCCGAGCGUUGUCCGGAAUUAUUGGGCGUAAAGGGCUCGUAGGCGGUCCGUCACGUCGGGAGUGAAAACUCACGGCUCAACCUUGAGCGUGCUUCCGAUACGGGCGGACUAGAGGUAUGCAGGGGAGAACGGAAUUCCUGGUGUAGCGGUGGAAUGCGCAGAUAUCAGGAGGAACACCGGUGGCGAAGGCGGUUCUCUGGGCAUUACCUGACGCUGAGGAGCGAAAGCAUGGGGAGCGAACAGGAUUAGAUACCCUGGUAGUCCAUGCCGUAAACGUUGGGCGCUAGGUGUGGGGACCUUCCACGGUCUCCGUGCCGCAGCUAACGCAUUAAGCGCCCCGCCUGGGGAGUACGGCCGCAAGGCUA